rnacentral:rRNA from 1 species
GUCCUUUAGAUUUAUAUUUAAGGUCUGGCCUGCCCACUGAAAUUUUUAAAGGGCCGCAGUAAUUUGACUGUGCAAAGGUAGCAUAAUCAUUAGUUUUUUAAUUGAAAGCUUGUAUGAAGGGUUGGACGAGGUAAAUUCUGUCUCCAUUUAAAUUAAUAUAGAAUUUAAAUUUUAAGUUAAAAAGCUUAAAUAUGUUUAAAAGACGAGAAGACCCUAUAGAUCUUUAUAUUAAUUAAAAUUAAAUUUGAUAAAGAAUAUUAAUUUUUUUAGUUUUGUUAAUAUUUUAUUGGGGUAAUAGAAAGAUUAAAUAAAUUCUUUUUUUAUUAAACAUUGAUUUAUGAAUUAUUGAUCCAAUUUUAUUGAUUAUAAGAUUAAGUUACCUUAGGGAUAACAGCGUAAUUUUUUUAGAGAGUUCAUAUCGAUAAGAAAGUUUGCGACCUCGAUGUUGGAUUAAAAAUUAUCUUAGGUGCAGAAUUUUAAGAUUUUGGUCUGUUCGACCAUUAAAUUUUU